rnacentral:rRNA from 1 species
AUUGAACGCUGGCCGCAGGCCUAACACAUGCAAGCCGAGCGGAGCGGCGGACGGGUGAGUAAUGCCUAGGACUCUGCCUGGUCGUGCGGGAUAACGUCCGGAAACGGGCGCUAAUAGCGCAUACUCUCAGAUGAGCCUCGGCCGGAUUAGCUCGCUGGUGGGGUAAAGGCCUCCCAAGGCGACGAUCCGUAACUGGUCUGAGAGGAUGAUCAGUCACACUGGAACUGAGACACGGUCCAGACGCCUACGUGAGGCAGCAGUGGGGAAUAUUGGACACUGGGCGAAAGCCUGAUCCAGCCAUGCCGAGUGUGUGAAGGAGGGCUUCGGAUUGUGAAGCACUUUAAGUUGGGAGGCGUUACCAACAGAAUAAGCCACGGCUAACUUCGUGCCAGCAGCCGCGGUAAUUC